rnacentral:misc_RNA from 1 species
UCUCCGUUGGUGAACCAGCGGAGGGAUCAUUACCGAGUUUACAACUCCCAAACCCAUGUGAACAUACCUACUGUUGCUUCGGCGGGAUUGCCCCGGGCGCCUCGUGUGCCCCGGAUCAGGCGCCCGCCUAGGAAACUUAAUUCUUGUUUUAUUUUGGAAUCUUCUGAGUAAAACCAUAAAUAAAUCAAAACUUUCAACAACGGAUCUCUUGGUUCUG